rnacentral:rRNA from 1 species
GACGAACGCUGGCGGCGUGCUUAACACAUGCAAGUCGAGCGGUAAGGCCCUUUUGGGGGUACACGAGCGGCGAACGGGUGAGUAACACGUGGGUGACCUGCCCUCAGCUCUGGGGUAAGCCUGGGAAACUGGGUCUAAUACUGGAUAUGACCUUUCCUCGCAUGGGGUUGGGUGGAAAGUUUUCGGCUGGGGAGUGGGCCCGCGGCCUAUCAGCUUGUUGGUGGGGUGAUGGCCUACCAAGGCGACGACGGGUAGCCGGCCUGAGAGGGCGACCGGCCACACUGGGACUGAGACACGGCCCAGACUCCUACGGGAGGCAGCAGUGGGGAAUAUUGCGCAAUGGGCGGAAGCCUGACGCAGCGACGCCGCGUGGGGGAUGACGGCC